rnacentral:rRNA from 1 species
YUUUUYUUGUUUUAWRWAWGAAAUAUAACCUGCCCAAUGAUUGAAAUUAAAUGGCCGCGGUAUAUUGACCGUGCAAAGGUAGCAUAAUAAUUAGUGUCUUAAUUGGAGACUGGAAUGAAUGGUUAAACGAAAUAAAAUCUAUCCUGAAUUUAUUAAUUUGAAUUUAAUUAUUAAGUUAAAAAGCUUAAAUUUUUUUAUGGGACGAUAAGACCCUAUAGAAUUUAAUAGUUUUUUUUAAUAUUUUAGUUUGAAUCUUAUUAAUUUAAAUUAAAUUAUUUUAUUGGGGUGAUGUUAAGAUAGGAAUAACUCUUAUUAAAUUAUAAAUAUAUAUAUAUAUAUAUAUAUUAUUGAUCCAGUUGUGUKGAUUAWAAGAWAAAAUUACC